AAUCCCUGGUUAGGACAGUUUUUUACCAACCUUUUGAAUCUCUCCCAUGCGUCACUGAGUGUCUCAGAUUCUUCUUGCUCAAAAUUCAUAAUCUUCCGAAACU